rnacentral:sRNA from 1 species
GAUACCAAGGUCAAAAGGUCUUGCGUUUCAUGCUUGCAUGAAAAAGCAUAAUUUUGGGACUCGCAAAACAUGAGAAAGUAGCCCGAUUAGGGUGAAUUUCGAAUGUUUCUAGGAUUGCGAGAACACAUAGGGCGGAGCAACCCGUAGGUAUC